UAUCAAAUCAUAAGGUCAAACAAGAAAGCUUAAAUCUGGUGGUUUCCAACACCAAUCUUGAGAAACAAGAUUUUCAAAUUAAGCUUUGUUGGUUCCCUAUAAAAAACGAAAUUCCAUACUAUCUUCUUCAACAAUUCAAAUACAAUUUUCUUUUCUCAUUCCUCAAAUACUCUUCUCGAUCUGCUUUUAAUCCAACAACCAGUGAUGGUACAAGAGUCGUUCUAAGAAUCAUAUGAAGAAUCGUCUCCUGGUCGAGCACAAACUAGCAGUUGCUUAAGUAGUGGCUUUCCGGGUUUUAUUGAAGUUGAAUGUCAUACUGCAAGCUUGGUCAGUGCACAGUUCCUAAAGAGAUGGAAUUAUGGUCACCUGGCCAAUAAAAUGGGUUAUGGGUAUCUGGCAAAAAAAUGUCGCAGUUCAUUGAAAGUAGAGGUAAAGAAGGAUUGAAAGAGCUUUGGAGGGAAAGACUUAUUAAGUGUGGUUGGAAAGAUGACAUGAAAUCUCUUUGCAGCUGGUAGACAAGAGACAAGGAGUUAAAGGAACACGUAGAUAAGAUUUCUUAAGCAUACCACCAUCAAAUUGUCAUGCUCAAGCAAAAGUACAAUGGUUUCACAUGUUCUUAGAAACCUCGAUAUAGUAGCACUAAAUGUCAUUUCUCCAGGAACUUAAAGGUGAUCACAGCUACCCCGAGACAAAUUGCAAGUCUGAUACGGCUGAGCAAGGCCCAUGAUCGGAUUCAAUUCUCGGAAUAGAAAAAAAAGAGACUCUGAAGGUUAUCUUGGGUGUGAGCUCAAAGAUGGGCGAUGAAGCACAACCCCUCUCUCGUUAGAUGCGGAGGAGCAGAUUACAUCUCCUUAACAUUAAAUAAUCUCCCUCACAAUAAAAUUAUCCCAAUGACAGAUACGUAUCCUGCUUAUAAAGAAGAACGAAAACUGGACAAAUUGAAAUAUAAUGGUUAUGAUAUUAGUUUUCUUAUCACUGAUUACCAUUGUGAGGAGAUGCAGAAGCAUAAGCUUAUCGACUUCAUUGUGCAAUUCAUGGAAGAUAUUGAUAAAUUGAUAAAGAGAUUAGUGAACUGAAAUUGUCUAUGAAUACACGAGGAAGAUUAGUGGCAACUGAAUUUCUGAAGCAAUUAUGAGAUGUGUAAAUGCAAAGAUGGUGGUCUAAAUCUAAGUGUUCAUUUGUUUGGAGGAAUUUUUAUAUUGGGCCAACAUUGGAUAAAUUGGAUCCCAUGGAAUGUAUUUAGCAUAAGAGGUUGGGCCGUUGGGAAUGGGCUGAAACUUGGAAAUAGACAAGAUUACAGUCUUGAUGUUUUUAUGUCAAUUGCAUGUAAUUGGUAAUAUGGUGUGAAUGGUUAGCAGAAUAUGAUUUUAGUCAA